CAACAGUGGUCAACAGCCUAAUGAUCUCCGAUCAGGACAGUCAACGGAUAGUACGUCCACGACUGGCACGUUCAAUAAAACAUUAUUUGAUUGGUCCGGUACUAACUCUUUACAAUAAAGAAAUUAAUCAUUUGCUACUAUAAAUACAUUUGUCCUCGUUCUUAUAUAUGUCGAGUUAUCUCGCCUACAACAAUCUUAGUAUUUCGCAUUUAUAUUAUUUUUGUAAAAACAAGGAUUUGUAUAGUACAAAAUAUAUAUACAAAUUGUAAGAAUAAAUAAAUUAUAGUUUCUAUCAUAAAAAAAAUAUAACUGAAAUUUUAAAGGAUUAAACGCCUUUUUAAAAAGAAUUCAUUGGUGUAUAAACUCUACAAAUUCACUCACCUUGAAACGAGAAAAAAUCUUUCGGGCUUUUACAUUGUUUUAUGAUAUGAUCUGUAUGUUUGUGACUGACUAAGUCACGGGGGGGGGGGGGGGGGUAACUUCCUAUUAUUGGGUAUACGGGGAUGUGCCAAAAAUAUGGGUCAUAAUUUUGCGAGAUUUUAUAUAAAAAUGACCCUCCUUUUUUCAGUGAAUGUUAUAUUAAAAUAGGCACGUUUUUUGGGGCAAAAAUGGCACACCCUACCAAAAAAAUAUCGAAGUGACUAUAUUCAUGUCAAAGAUUAUUUGUGUAUGCAUGUAUAUUUUUUGUUCCGUUUCAGGAAAAUAAUUCUUGUUGCACUUUUUUUUUUUAUUUCUUGUCACUCCUGAAUAUAUUUGAAUCAAACUACUAUGUAUAAUAUAUUUUGAUUGUAUAAUAGUAAUAACGUUUUAUAUAUAUCUUGCAGAUUGCAGAAAGUGUGAACAAUUUCAGUAGAAAUUUUCAUAAUAUUUCCCAGUUAGUUAACUGAGAUAUGAAGAAAACUGCUGUUGUUUUAUGAUUGGAGGAAAUACCUUCAGCAAUAUUUGAAAAAAUACUGCAGCAUUUUAGAACUUAAUUAUCACCACUUCACGAUUCAUUCAGCGAAACCUGAAAAUUUUGUUGGCAAAGUCCUGUCAGACUCUGUACCUAUAACCGUCAGUUUAUUUAAAAAAAAAAACCGCUAUAAUUUCAACAUCUUCUAUGCAAAACACUUUUUAACACCAAA
rnacentral:lncRNA from 1 species